AACGAACGCUGGCGGCAUGCCUAACGCAUGCAAGUCGAACGAGACCUUCGGGUCUAGUGGCGCACGGGUGCGUAACGCGUGGGAAUCUGCCCUUGGGUUCGGAAUAACAGUUGGAAACGACUGCUAAUACCGGAUGAUGACGUAAGUCCAAAGAUUUAUCGCCCAGGGAUGAGCCCGCGUAGGAUUAGCUAGUUGGUGGGGUAAAGGCCUACCAAGGCGACGAUCCUUAGCUGGUCUGAGAGGAUGAUCAGCCACACUGGGACUGAGACACGGCCCAGACUCCUACGGGAGGCAGCAGUGGGGAAUAUUGGACAAUGGGCGAAAGCCUGAUCCAGCAAUGCCGCGUGAGUGAUGAAGGCCUUAGGGUUGUAAAGCUCUUUUACCCGGGAUGAUAAUGACAGUACCGGGAGAAUAAGCCCCGGCUAACUCCGUG
rnacentral:rRNA from 1 species